CCAGAUACAGGUGGGCCUGAGCGAGUGGCUGGUUUUCCCCCAUCUCUCUGCAUGCUGUUGGAGGUCCAGCUCAGCGGAAAUGGAGGGGCUGUCGUCUUUGGGAGGAGAAGCUUGGUCAUCAGAAGCAGAGGAAAUGGAGCCCAGGACUGUCCAUCUGUGGCUGCUGUGGCUCUUGACUCCUUUCCCCAUGGAUGACCUGCUUCUCAUCAGGAUGGUGCUUAAACGACCUGAUGCUGGAUUAGCAACCUAGGAUGCAUCCACACAACAGAAUAUUGUUCAGCAAUUAAAAGGAAUAAAAUACUGUAAAAUGUCAGUUGCAGGCCCUCCCUGGUGGUGCAACGGG